rnacentral:lncRNA from 1 species
CCUUAUCUGAGUCAUAAUUCUCUGACUUUUCAUUUUGUAUAGAUUUUUGGUGUGGUCUCGUUUUGCAGACAAUAGAGUUGCAGCCUCCCUUUCUUCUGAUGUCUGCCCCCUUUGUGGCUGAAGUUGGUACGGGGGUUUACUGUAGGCUUCCUGAUGGGAGAGACUGGUGCUUGCCCACUGGUAGGUGGAGCUGAUUCUUAUCUCUGGUGGGUGUGGCCUUGUCUCUGGGUGAGAUUAGAGGGCUCUCUGCCUGGGGGGUCUUUAGGUAGGCUGUUUACUGAUGGGUGGAGCUGUGAUCCCACCUGGAUUAUUGUUUGGCCUGGGACUUCUCAGUGCUGAAGUGUCGGCCAGAUUUUUCCAAAAUGGCCACCUCUAGAGGAACACACACUGAUGAUUAUUCCAGAGAACUUUGCUUCCAAUGUCCUUCCCCCACAAUGAGCCAUAGUCACCCCCAGGAGAUCUUCCAAGAACUGCAGUCAGGUCUGACCCAGAUUCCUAUGCAGUCUCUGCUUUGGCCUGGGACCCAGUGCACAUAAAAGCCUGUGUUCACCUUUCAAGAAUGGGGUGUCCAUAUCCUCCAGUCCCAUGGAGCUCCUGUGCACAAGCCCCACUGGCCUUCAAUGCCAAAUGCUCCAGGGGUUCCUUCUCCCAAUGCCAGAUCUCCAGUCAUGAGGACCUGAUGUGGGGCUCAGAACUCUCACUCCUGUAGGUGAGUCUUUGUGAUACAGUUACUUUCCAGUCUGUGGGUUGCCGACCCAGUGAGUAAGGGAUGGCUUAUAUUGUGUAAUUGCCCCUCCUACCAUCUUGAUGUGGCCUCCUCUUUGUUUUCUGGAGUAGGAUAUCUUUUUUAUAGUUUGCAGUCAAUGUGGUUGAAGGUUUUUCAGCAGUUGGUUGUAAUUUUGUUGCUUUUGUGAGAGAAGGUGAGCUCCAGUCCUUCCUCUCUGCCUUCUUAAUCCUGUCUCCCUCCCCACCACUUUAGAUGCCUGUUGCCUAUACUCUUAUGUUAAUUGAAGAACUGUCUCUGUAAGCUCCCCUUAUAGGGAGAAGGUUUACAGAGCUUCAAGGAAGAAACAAAAAAUAUAAAAGGAUUUGCCUAAUUUACCUAUGUCUGCUUACACCCUAAAGAAUGGUCUAGGUCUUAAUCCCUAUUUCCUAAUGUACUCCAAGAAAAUAUUGGUUUGUGGUAAUGUCCUGUCACUUAAUGCAUUUAUCUGUAGUCACCCGAAGGACACAUGACCUUCAGGAAAAGCCACAGUCACCUCUAUAGCUCCUCCUUCUCAACAGCUCCUUCCUGUGAACAUUUCCUUGUGACAGACUGUGUAGUCUUUUUGUUAUAGGUUGAGUCAUUCAAGUGCUAUAAUGUUCACAGAGAAGCAACCUCCAAACUUUGUCUCCAUUUAUUGGUACACAUAGGCCCAAAAUUAUUUUAAAUAUUCCUAAUUACUAUUUGAUUUUAUUUUAAAAUAAUACCUCACUUUUCUAAAAGUGAUCUGUUCCAAAAAUGAGGUAAUUACAGAUACAAUUGUAAAUAUACAAAAGGUUUUUUAAAAAUCAUAAGUAAAUAAUUUUAAUUCUUAGCACACACUGUUGGUUCCUUUCCCAGUGUCUGUUUCCCUCUUCUUUUUCCCAAGAAUUUCAAUUUGGCCCAGAGUGGAUGUUAAUUAGUCCAAAUCAAUCAUCAGUGGUUGGUUUAGGAAAGGGAAGUCAGCUGGAGUGGUGGUGGUGGGGUGAUUCUGGAAGAGAUUCCUUUUUCCUAAAAGAGACACAGAGGGAGAGUUCUCUCUCUUUUCUGGGAACGUUUCUGGGUUGGGAUGUGCCUCCAGAAUCACUGCAGCCACACUGCCACCAGUUGGAGGAUGAAGCCAAACAAGGAGAAAGGCAGAGCUGGUAGAAUUACUCAGGAGUAAAACAGCCUGAAGUACCAUGCCUGGACUCCAUCUUCUUGGGCCCUCUUUGUUCUAUGAAACAAUAAAUUGCCUUCCUGUUUAAGCCAUGAUGAGUCAGGAUUUACAAUUAUUAGCAGCCCUAAACACCCUAAUAGCCAAGUACGCACUAAAGUUUGUGCUCUCUGUUUAUAGAACAUUAUGUCAGGCAUUUAGUUCUAGGAAACAGGCUUAUCUGAUUUCCCAGUUCAUGGUAGAUUAGAAAAAGCAAGUUAAAAAUGGAGAAAGGGCUGAUAGAGACAGACAAGCCAAACAGAGAAGGAAGAGACCUAAAGGCACAAGCAAGAACUGAGGAUGCAACAGUUUAGGAUUAUUUAAUGUUGGAACAAACAAGUCCUCCCACCUCCCCUUGUGGGAAUCAGAGUACAUCUCAAUGACUAAUCCAUGAUGAUGGCCAUGUGUCACCAAUGGAAGUUUGCCUUCUGUUUAGUGUAUUCUGUUUUAGAAGAGGGUUGGGGCUGAUUAAUAUUUUAAAACUCUUUCUUCAUAAAUAAGGAAAAGGUUAAAUGAUUGUAGGGGAUAAGCUUAUCUGAAAAGGCACACAGAAGACAAACUCCUUCCCUUGCAAUGCUUAAUAAAUGAGGACUGUACAUAUAUGCAAAUAGAAUCUGUUAGAAAUUGCUACACUUAGAGAAAAGGGAGGGGGGAAAUGAAGCAGUAGUUUGAUUGCUACAAAGAAAGGCUCAUAUCAGUUUUGGUCUCUAUGAGUAUCCCCAGCAGAGGAGAAGCAAAGCUGGUGGACGUGGUGCUACUCUCCUGCAAGUUACUUUAUUAUGGUUUAAUGGCUCAGCAAGCCUGGCUAGGCUGUUUCCUCAGAAGCCUGCCAGUAGCAAGCAAAUAAGCUGCUUGACUCUCUCCUCUUAGAGGGGGUUGAGCAAUCAUAAUUAAAAUGUAAAUAAUUCUCAGGGCCAUCAGCUUGUAGACAAAAAUAACUAGAAAGAUCAUAGACACUGAAAUUGCACCACACAAAACAGGCUCUAAGUCUUUGUCUAUACAAACACUAAAGCCACCAGUUGAUUUAGUCACUGUGGUGAGAAAUCACUCAACCUGAUUCAUUUGCAAGCAUGCACAGGAAACCGGCUGGUUGCUAUAUGCUGCUGACGCCAGGCACUAAAAUUGAGGGAGGCUUUCUGAAAAGGCACUUGUUUACUAAGUUCCCAGGGCAUAGGCAACUCAGAACACAAGCACUAUGAUGAACUCAGGGCUUUUCUGCAAUCAGCUGGUGCAUCUGUGGUCCCACACACCUCCUGCCCCCUGGAUUGAAAGAGCUGCUCCAGGCUGCACAGCUGUAGGCUCAUCCAAGGCCUCCACAAGCCUGCCCAUGUCCUGCCUGCCGAGGCUGGAGGCACAAGUUGAGUUGUUUGCACUGGCUCCACCCACCAGGGUGUUAUUUUGUCUCAAAAUCCCCCUUCAUUAGAGAAGGAUCCUGAAACUUAAAUAAUAUGCAAAGAAAAGCUAAAUAAAAUGGGAGAAAAUCUAAUACAUUUUCUACCUAAUUACCAACAUAUGUGCAUGUGUCAUACCUAGUAGGCACUCAUAAUUUUUUAAAUAAAUAAUAAAUGAUUUAUUAACCUGAGUAUGAAGGAAAUAGAUAAAUAAUUAAAGGAUUAUAUUAAGAAUGAAGCUUCGGGGAGUUCCCGUUGUGGCGCAGAGGAAACCAAUGCAACUAGGAACCAUGAGGUUGCGGGUUUGAUCCCUGGCCUUGCUCAGUGGGUUAAGUGUCUGGCAUUGCUGUGGCUCUGGCGUAGGCCAGCCACAACAGCUCUGAUUAGACCCCUAGCCUGGGAACCUCCAUAUGCCACAGGUGUGGCCCUA